AGAGUUUGAUCCUGGCUCAGGAUGAACGCUGGCGGCGUGCCUAAUACAUGCAAGUCGAGCGAACAGACAAGGAGCUUGCUCCUUUGACGUUAGCGGCGGACGGGUGAGUAACACGUGGGUAACCUACCUAUAAGACUGGGAUAACUUCGGGAAACCGGAGCUAAUACCGGAUAAUAUUUCGAACCGCAUGGUUCGAUAGUGAAAGAUGGUUUUGCUAUCACUUAUAGAUGGACCCGCGCCGUAUUAGCUAGUUGGUAAGGUAACGGCUUACCAAGGCGACGAUACGUAGCCGACCUGAGAGGGUGAUCGGCCACACUGGAACUGAGACACGGUCCAGACUCCUACGGGAGGCAGCAGUAGGGAAUCUUCCGCAAUGGGCGAAAGCCUGACGGAGCAACGCCGCGUGAGUGAUGAAGGUCUUCGGAUCGUAAAACUCUGUUAUUAGGGAAGAACAUACGUGUAAGUAACUAUGCACGUCUUGACGGUACCUAAUCAGAAAGCCACGGCUAACUACGUGCCAGCAGCCGCGGUAAUACGUAGGUGGCAAGCGUUAUCCGGAAUUAUUGGGCGUAAAGCGCGCGUAGGCGGUUUUUUAAGUCUGAUGUGAAAGCCCACGGCUCAACCGUGGAGGGUCAUUGGAAACUGGAAAACUUGAGUGCAGAAGAGGAAAGUGGAAUUCCAUGUGUAGCGGUGAAAUGCGCAGAGAUAUGGAGGAACACCAGUGGCGAAGGCGACUUUCUGGUCUGUAACUGACGCUGAUGUGCGAAAGCGUGGGGAUCAAACAGGAUUAGAUACCCUGGUAGUCCACGCCGUAAACGAUGAGUGCUAAGUGUUAGGGGGUUUCCGCCCCUUAGUGCUGCAGCUAACGCAUUAAGCACUCCGCCUGGGGAGUACGACCGCAAGGUUGAAACUCAAAGGAAUUGACGGGGACCCGCACAAGCGGUGGAGCAUGUGGUUUAAUUCGAAGCAACGCGAAGAACCUUACCAAAUCUUGACAUCCUUUGACAACUCUAGAGAUAGAGCUUUCCCCUUCGGGGGACAAAGUGACAGGUGGUGCAUGGUUGUCGUCAGCUCGUGUCGUGAGAUGUUGGGUUAAGUCCCGCAACGAGCGCAACCCUUAAGCUUAGUUGCCAUCAUUAAGUUGGGCACUCUAAGUUGACUGCCGGUGACAAACCGGAGGAAGGUGGGGAUGACGUCAAAUCAUCAUGCCCCUUAUGAUUUGGGCUACACACGUGCUACAAUGGACAAUACAAAGGGCAGCGAAACCGCGAGGUCAAGCAAAUCCCAUAAAGUUGUUCUCAGUUCGGAUUGUAGUCUGCAACUCGACUACAUGAAGCUGGAAUCGCUAGUAAUCGUAGAUCAGCAUGCUACGGUGAAUACGUUCCCGGGUCUUGUACACACCGCCCGUCACACCACGAGAGUUUGUAACACCCGAAGCCGGUGGAGUAACCAUUUGGAGCUAGCCGUCGAAGGUGGGACAAAUGAUUGGGGUGAAGUCGUAACAAGGUAGCCGUAUCGGAAGGUGCGGCUG
rnacentral:rRNA from 1 species